rnacentral:rRNA from 1 species
UACGUAGGGGGCAAGCGUUGUUCGGAAUUACUGGGCGUAAAGGGCGCGUAGGCGGCACGGCAAGUCGGGUGUGAAAUCUCGGAGCUUAACUCCGAAACUGCAUUCGAUACUGCCGUGCUUGAGGACUGGAGAGGAGACUGGAAUUUACGGUGUAGCGGUGAAAUGCGCAGAGAUCGGGAGGAACACCCGUAGCGAAGGCGGCACUCUGGGCCGGUACUGACGCUGAGGAGCGAAAGCGUGGGGAGCAAACAGG